rnacentral:tRNA from 1 species
UACCUUUUAGUUUAAAAAAAAAAAACAAUAAAUUGCAAAUUUAAAUUUGGUAGUACCUUCAUGAAAAGCCAAAGGUAU